rnacentral:rRNA from 1 species
GACGAACGCUGGCGGCGUGCCUAACACAUGCAAGUCGAGCGAUCUGGCACUCAAUUUCUUUUGAAAUUGAGUGCCAGAUAGCGGCGGACGGGUGAGUAACGCGUGAGGAACCUGCCUUCUACUAGGGGGAUAGCCUCGGGAAACUGGGAUUAAUACCCUAUGACACCUUUAAAUCGCAUGAUUUGAAGGUUAAAGCGUUUUAGCGGUAGAAGAUGGCCUCGCGUCCCAUUAGCUAGUUGGUGAGGUAACGGCUCACCAAGGCUACGAUGGGUAGCCGGCCUGAGAGGGUGAUCGGCCACACUGGAACUGAGACACGGUCCAGACUCCUACGGGAGGCAGCAGUGGGGAAUAUUGCACAAUGGGCGAAAGCCUGAUGCAGCGACGCCGCGUGAGCGAAGAAGGCCUUCGGGUCGUAAAGACUCUGUCCUAUGGGAAGAUAAUGACGGUACCAUAGGAGGAAGCCCGGCUAACACGUGCCAGCAGCCGCGGUAAUAGUA